rnacentral:rRNA from 1 species
UACGUAGGGCGCAAGCGUUGUCCGGAAUUAUUGGGCGUAAAGAGCUCGUAGGCGGCCUGUUUACGUCUGCUGUGAAAUCCCGGGGGCUUAACCCCGGGCGUGCAGUGGAUACGGGCAGGCUGGAGGCAGGCAGGGGAGAACGGAAUUCCCGGUGUAGCGGUGAAAUGCGCAGAUAUCGGGAGGAACACCGGUGGCGAAGGCGGUUCUCUGGGCCUGUACUGACGCUGAGGAGACGAAGCGUGGGGAGCGAACAGG